AUGAAUAUCCAUACUAAGGGAAAUCAACUAACUAUUUUAAUAAGUAAGCUAAUUCUCCAGUCAGUUUUGUCUUGUCAAUAAGCAGGAUUUUUAAAUUUAUGACAUUUGCUUAUCCUUUCAAAAUUUUUGUGUUUUUUUUUACAAAAUCUAACUCAUAACAAAGAAUAAUAUGUCUGCAAAAUUAGAAAUCCUUUAUAAGAAGAAUUGUCCAGCUUUGGAACGAAAAUGGAAGAAUGAGUUAAAACUAAUGAAAAAGAAGUCUAGUCAAUCAAACGGUAAAUUUGGAAAUAGAUAUGGUUUAACAAAUUGUGACAAAAAGAUACGUACCUAAUCACCUGCCAUUUGAAACAAUUUUCUCCCCUGGUCGUUCUGGUAAAAUGGAUUGUCACUGCAUGUAACAUUUUUAAAACCAGACACCAAAUUAGUGAUACUGUACGUAUUACAAAUAUUACUAGAUUUGUACUCCAGUUUUUAAUUAAACCGUUAGAUAGA